GAAGCUAGUGUUUAGGUGGGAGUUCCUAGGAAUUUUAUACUACUGACCACAGAGGCCAGAAGAGAAAGGAAAUGGGAAAAACAGUAUAAAUACCUGGGUGACUAAUGACUGUGCAGCUUAGCUGACUUUUCUGAACGUUUAACGGGAAGCCUCUUCCAGGGAAAACACCCUGAACAUUUCUCAGGAGCCCGCGUGGCACUGAAGGGCCCGAUAGGAGUGUUUACUGCACGAGCUUGGUCGGUUUUGUUCACUACCUACGGGACAGAAAGAUUUUCUGCCAAUUUCUCCAAGCGAUGGGCUCUAUUUGCAUGCGUGGUGCAGACAUUUUGCCGAGCACCAGGGUUCCCAGGCCCCCGAUUGUAAAGGAUUGUAAGGCCACCCCUUUCCUCGUUCACAUGAUGGCGCCUAAGAGGAUUUAGAAUCAGGCGGGCACAUUUGCACGGCCUUGUUGUGAAGAGGCAGCUGGAGCGCGGUCGGCCGGCCUGGCGCAGCCACCGCGGGCCCAGGGGACUGCUUUGUGCGCCGAGGGGCCGCCGCGGGGGCGCCUUUGUACGCGACGCAGGCCUUUCUCUCCUGCCCCCAGUCUCCGCCGGGCCUCCGCCGCCGCCCCCUACGCAGACUUUUCACUCCAGCCGCCGGAUCCCCCUGCGGCCGCAUUCCCAAUGCAGAGGAGCGUGCGGGGCUUGGGGCUGGCCAUCUGCACGCGGAGAUUGACAGCAGCCCGAAAGAAGCAUCUAGUAACAUUUAGCAGCUGGGGUAUGGAUGAAGCUAAAUGGUAACUUUGCUGCUCCGUUUCCACCAGCUCCACCUAGGUCCUGGGAGGUGGAAGGGGCAGCUGCAGGGAGAGCAGGACCAGAUGGAUUUAUCAGCAUGCAAGGCCCAAGACUUGAUUUAUUUUAUAAUUGAUACAUUUUGACAAUAUUUUUUACCAAAUGGAUGUAUAGUAUCUCAGCUGUCUUCACACCUUCUCAUCUCACCCCUCUUUACACUGUGAGUCUCCAUCCAGCUAUUACGUGUAUGAAACAGUCGAUGUACCUUCCUCUCUCCUUGCUUUGGAUAAGGUGCAUUAUGGAUUAAAUGGGCUUUGUGGGUUGAUCUAGGACCUAGACCAUCAAGUACAAAGGUUUCUUUGGGAAAUCAGUCUCCUAAAAAAACUGGACUUGAGGAAUCCUCCUGCUGCCAAAACCUUACUGAGAAGAGAAAAUUCCCUCCAAUGAAUGGCUCUGGCGAUGACACUCAGAGACGAGGAGGGGCAGGCUAUGCUGUGUAAGUGACAUUCAUAAAUUUGGUGUUUGUACUUUGGAAACUACCAGCACUUAAUUUAGAAAGUAUUACAGCUGUAUUAGGCAGAAGGCGAACUCAACAGUGUUUAGACCAGGAAGUCAAAAAGGAAAACAAACAGUAAAGCAAAAUAUAGAACCAAGAUCUGAACAGAGAUAGUUGGCGGAAGUAAGCAGUUCAUGGCAGGGUCAUGAGCAAGACCCAUGUUUCAGUGCCAAACAAGGCAAUGAAUAUAAACAUUUCUUUACUAGAUUCAGUAAAGAAAUGCAAGGGCAGCAAACCAAAGGACUGUGAUGCUGAUCACGCGAACUUUCUAUUCUUUUGUCCUUUUUUUAUGUAGACUCUGACAGUGAAUAUGUUCUCAACAGUCUAAGCUCUCAUGAAGUCAUAUAUCCAUCCCACUCUGCAGCCAUGACCCACAUUCUAGGUACUUCCUCCACCCCCCACCCCCCAAGAAGCUGUGAGCAGCCAAAGCUCUCUUUCUAGGUAAUUUCCCAAUUGUUUUUGCCCCCAAAUGGCAAAGGAGUUCAAAUAUUUUUUCAGCCAGAAUGAGGAGUGAGGUGAGAUCAGGAAGAGGAGCAAAAGACAGAGCUGUGACCCAUGAGAAAGACCAGGAAUUAGUUUAAGAGAUUGUCAGGGGAUAAGGGCCCCUUUGGAAGAGAGAAAGUGCGCAUACAACAUGAUUCCUGGGAAAAGGAAUUAAAGCAUAGGGCCAGGAGGAAGACAGGAAUGCUGAGUGAGUUGCAUGAAAUGAUGCUUGAAAUCUCCCAGAAAAAAAAAGUUAGAAAUGAAAAAUGUAUGUGAUUAGUUUGUAUUUUUAUGGUACCUCGGAGGGAGCAGAAGAUAAAUUCCUAAGCAAGAACAGCAAUUGUGGGGCUGACCAACGACUCCCCAGAUUGCCAAAAUUGGCAGUUUCUGCCCAGUUUACAUAAUACCUAAGGUUUGGGAAAGUCUCUAGUGCUCUGUAGUCUCCCCAGAAGUACUUGACUUUCUGUUCUGUUCACCAAGCACUUGGGCACCUUGGAGAUCUUGACUUUACCGGCCCAACUCUAGCCGUGACCUCAGGGAACCACAAUAGCUGGAUUGGAGUACAAACCCCCUGUGUUUUGAAGGAGGGGAGAGGGAUUCAAAUGCUAUGUCCUUUGUCAUCAUAUGUAUCCUAUCAUUUGGGGCAAUUUGUCUCAAUUGCCACCAUUAGAACAAAAUGGCAGAAGACAGAUUUUUUUAAAGCUAUUGAAAAAUGUUUCCCAGGGUCAGUUAAGAAAAGGCCCACACUAUAAAAUAUUAUUUCCACUGCACUAAACUCAAAAGUGGCUGUCUGCAAAGAAGCUGUUGGAAGAGAAACGAAAGUGACAGUCUGAUGGUUGGGAUAGAUUGAAAGCAUUAGGUAAAAUUACAUCAAUGGUAGGAGACUUUUCUCACUCCUCUGGACCUGGAAUUUUGAGCAUUUGUGGGACUGGAUCCAGUCUCAUUUUUCAGCACUUCAUCUAGAGUCUUAGUGCUUUCAAUAUAUUAAUUUCAGAAUAGUGUUUCUUGCUACUUAGCUCAAAUAAUCCCUUUUUGGGUGAACUAAGUGAAGGGGAAUAAGAAAGUCAAUUUAAAAAAGAGUUAUGUUCAAUCUAUUGAGAUUGUUGGAAGUCUGACUUGGUAGGAAACCUAACCUCUGGGACGGCUGCCACUGUGGCCAUUCCCUGGUGGCAUAGUAACUCCUUAGCUCCAUGAUGUUUGGAAAGUGUGGUUUGGACAACACAGAUCAUAAAAAUAAAUCAGUCUUCCAAAGGUUCAUCCCAAGAAGUUCACACUAAGGUGAACACAAUACUGGUUGUCUAUAUCAGAAGGGCUCCAUUUCCAAAUAGGAUUUGAGUUGGGAAAAGGGCUUGUAUAUGCUAUCCUGGCAGUUAUUUCAUAAACUUAAUUGUGUUUAUUAAUGUAUAUUAUCAGAGUAAGUAACCUUUUACCAUUUCACUGAUUCGGGUACACUGGAGGAAGAUCUUUCUGACUCCCUGACUGUCUGGAUUAUGAAAUAAUUUGGAGCACAAUGAUUGUUUAAAAUAGUUUCACUUGACUGUUUGUUAGCCACAGUUUUGAGGGAGCUGCUUCAACAAAGUAAUACAAGUGAGUUGUCUUAGCUUGUCCAUCAUUUGCAUCUGUUCCACAAUGUUACCUUAAAUUGGACUGGGUUAUAUUCCCUUUCCUUCUGAGAAUCACAGAUCAUCAAGAGGUGGAAAGGGAAGGAGAGAUCAUAUAGCCCAAAGGCUGACAAACUUUUCUGUAAAGGGCAAGAUCGUAAAUAUUUCAGACUUGGCAGGCCAUAUGGUCUCUGUCAUAACUACUCAACUCUAGAUGGCAUGAAAACAGUCAUAGAUGAUAUAAAAACUAAUGAGUGUGGCUGUAUCCCAACAAAACUUUAUUUACAAAAACAGGCAACAGGCAGGAUUUGGCUGAUGGAACCUAGUUUGUCAACCCCUGACCUAGUCCCAUUUCCUCACUCUGCAGAUAAGGAAAAGGAAAUCUAGAAGACUGGGAAUUUCCCAGAGUUGUUAGAAGGUUCAUAGCAAAGCCAGAUUCCGAACCUACAAAUUAUAUGUAGAAUCUAGCUUUAUUUCCACCAUACCACAUCAGUUCUGACUCAUUUUGUGAAGCUUCUACCCUGUAGAUGACAUGGAUUUGAGUCAGAAAGUAGUAUUUCAAGAAAUUAUGCACCAGUAAAGUUCAAUUAUUUAAUAAAAAGCACUUUGAAGAAGAGAUUUUGUAGGAGACUGUCACUAAUUAGUGGCAUUACUCUGGGUGCCAUUGUUAUGUUUAAAGAUGGCAUUAAGGGAGUUAAAAAUGGAAAGAUUGGUAUUAUGUCACAGGGUCUCAUUUUAACAAGGUUUUUCGCUAGAGUUGAUUUGAAUAAAGCUAGCAAACUAGGGUUUCCAAUUCACCAAAGAACAGUCAGCCUCUACUGCAGAAGUUCUUAAUAUGGAAUGAAAAGGGUCUGUGAAUCCCUAAAUUCAUGCAGAAGUUUCUGGGCUUGUGCUGUUUUCUCAGGACAGUAGGUACAGCUUUCUUCACAUCUCCAAGUGAAUUUGUGACCCUGAAUUAUAGGAUUCUUAAGGUGAGAAAUUCCUGCCCAGCCAGGAUGCCGGAACUGGCCACCAGAAGGGGGCAUAAACAAGCUCCAACCAGUCACAUCCCUGUCCUCACACAUGCCCUCAGUGGCCGGCUCAUGAAAGGGUUUUUAGCUAGCCACCAGAAAAUCCAGAGGGGAAGGAAAAGUAGUCCUGAUUUUGUCAGCACAGAUGAGUACCCAGCAGCGUCAGAGGGCCCCGCGCAGUGAGGUUCCAAGUCAGGGGCAGUGUCAUUGCAGAUUCAUAGCAAGACCUCAGUCAGUGACUGGGGACAGGGAAGGCCAAGGAUUGGUACAUAAAUUCAGCUCCCAGAAGCUAGUAAAUAGGCUUGACUUCCAGCAACAUAGUGGACCGAGUUGACUCAGACAUCUCUCCUGUUACUAACACAGAGAAGUCCUGGAUGAAAUAGAAUGAAAAGAAAGCUUGUUGUUUUUCAACACAAGUUAAAUUAUAAAGAAAGAAAUGCAAACUCUCACAUGCCAGAAGCCAAGAGUGAACUCAAAGCAUAAUGGUCAGCUUCAGCUGAAGCCACAGUAGCUCAGGAGGCUAACAGCUAGACCCUUCAUUCCUGAGCGUGGGUGAGAAAGUGGCCUUGGGUCUACUGAUGGAAGGAGUCAGAGGAGAGGUUUAACCCUGCGGCUACAAGGGCUAUUGGUUUAUGAGAAGGGGUCCAGAAAAAUCUAUCCAAUGGCUGGAAUAGGUUUUAAGCUUUUUGUGUGGCCCAGGGCUCCAGGUAGGAAAAAAUAAACUUAAAAGCCAAUUUGUAAAUAAAAUUAAAAGCCAAUCUUGCAUUUGAUGUUCAGUGAAGGUAUCUGAAUUUACAACAUACCUGGAUUGGGAAUCUCUGGCUGAGGAGAAAAUGGUUCAAACUGGAGUAUGCUUGAUGUCCACAGAUGCCUUCACAGAACUAGGGCAGACAGCUGACAGCCCAGGCCCAUGUGCUCCUGGGGAAAGAUGCCAUCUAUGGAAGAGGAGCUUGUACAAGAUUUCACAUACACAUGCACACAUGGCACUAAACCAUCAUGGGAGAAACAGAAACCUGAGGAUGAUUGAACAAUCUAGAAGAGACUCUAAAAUAGACAUUUAAAAAAUAUAAAAUACAAUGUAGAACCAUUAGGAAGAAUAAAUGAAAGACAACAAUAACAAGGGUUUGAAAAAGCACCAUAUAGACCUUAUAGAAAUGAGAAUUAUAAUCAUAGACCUGUGAAAGUUUCUACAUAGCUGAGAAGAACUUUACUGAGCUGGAAGGCAGUGCUGGCCAGAAUGCUAUGUACGCAGAAAGAUACAGACACAGAAAUCCAAGGUCACGAGGAACACACGGACAGCUUAGAUUUCAAGGCAAAGGCAUCAAGACAGCUCAUGUCUCCUAGGUUCCCACCCUACUAGGCCUCGGGUUCCUGAGGUCAGAAUUGUCAGGAGAUAGUGGGCCUACACCUGGAAAUCUUAGGCCUCGGGAACUCCUGGUGAGCAAAACUUGGAAAAAGGGGGCUAUCUUCCUGAUAGUCCUGACUUACCUGCCAUCACCUCAGUCACCUGUCCUCCAAGGCUACCCUUCCUCCCUUGAGAGGAAGAGGGAAGUGUCCACCUUCCCUCUAAUUUCUUAUUAGGUCUGUGAUCCUUCAACUGAGUAUAGCCUUUACAUGGCCUUAAGAGCUGUCAAGAAUGGUUUUCUAAAAGUCAUACUGAACAAGGUUUCCCUGAGCAAGGACCUGACCCCAGGAAGAGGAGCCAUAUCACCAGGCCUGUAGACCUCAUCAGGAACCUCAGAGAAGGCAGUUUUCUCCCCCGAGCAGGAUACUUAACAAAAGGAUGGACAGUAGGAUGCUCAAUCUCAAGGUCACUGAGCAGCUUCCCUCUGUGGAAUCCCCUUGGCCAACUGUUGGUCCCUCAUCCAUGACCUAUUUCUGGCCUGGUCUUUGAAAACUGGCUGCUACUCCAGAGACCGAACAUCUGAUCCCUUCUAGUUUGGACCUCAGAUAACUGAACCACAUUCUCCUGCCCGCUUCUCCCAGGCCUGAUGCCCCCUGCCCCCAGCCAUUUUGGGAGAUAUUUUCACAGCCAAGUAAGACCUUUCCAGAAGGUGAAUCUGCCCUUUGCUUCUGUUGCUAGGAAUCAAUUCCUUUUCUGAGAACCUUCCAACAGGUAGGAGAGCAUUAGGGGAAACACCUUUGCUUCAGGGGUCCUGGAACAGCUUGAUUUAGAAGCUGGAGAUGAAUUUUCCCAGGAGCUUCACCAUGGAGAAGCCUGAGGAGCUGUGCUCAAUAGCGCUUUGCCAUCGUUUGGGCAGCACACAUGAACGGCCAAAGAAAACACUGCUGCUAGCACUGUGACAAUGGGGUGACCCCUCUGGGGACAGAGCCUCAGAGGGGCCCUGCCACCACUGGUUGUGAAAAUGCCCUCUCCCUCCUUGGCCUGUUCAACAUGCCCUGGUUCCAAAGCUGAAUCAGCAAGGCAAGCCAAUUCUGGGACAAAAUGAGCACCUUUGUUAUCUUAAAUGACUUGUACCAUCUCACUCCCUGUAUGAAGCAAAAUGCCUCUUAAUAAAAUCACCUUGGUUUCCAUAAGUAUGUAGUACAUUAUCACAGUGAUGAUUUUAUUAGGCCACUGGAAGUUGUCCUCCAAGGGUAUUAAAAGGUUGGCACCAAGGAUGUCAAUCUAAUAGGGGAAAGCUGAAUGACCACUUUUCUACCAGAAACUAAAAGCUUAGUUUGACUCUGGCUAUCUGAACAGAUCUUCAUAUUAAAUGACAUCUCAAGGCCAAAUCUGUAGUCAAAAUAUUAUUAUCCCAAAAUAAAAUCCCAAGGGGACCCACUUAGAUAGGCUACUUCUAGUAAAGUAUUAUGGGAAUAAAACAUUUUCAAUUCAGUUUUUGCUCUUGGGUUAAAAGACACAAGCAGGAAGAUGACCUAUUUUGAGUUUGUCUCUCUGUUCCCCAUAAAGCAGACCCCAUAUACUUUGGAUCAUCUUUAGCUUUGAUGUGUACACAUGAUACUUUGUCUGGGACCUUUUGGUAGUGAUAUAGCCACAGCCCAGACCAUUCGAAAGAUGGGUGGAAUGGAAGGAGUACAAAUGCCCUCUCUGUUGAAUGCCUUCUAGGGAAGCAGAGUAAUGGCUGUAAGAAGAGCUGCCUGGGUCCAAGUCCCAGUUCUGCCAUUAAAUGGCUGUGUGACUUUGGGUGUGUCACUUAACCUUUCUGUGCCUUGGUCUUCUCACUGUAUAAAGAAGAUAAUAUGAGCCUAUAUUGUAGAAUUGUUUUGAGGAUCAGUGUAUAAUACCUGUACAGCACUUACCUUAUACUAAGCUAAUUAUUAGCUAAGUGAACCUUCAUUUCCAGAGGAAGAAUAUAAUACCACACACCUAACAGAAGAAUCCCACCUAAAUUCCAUAUGCAGAGGAAAUUCUUUUCUGGCUAUGUGGCUGCUGAGGGAGAUACAGACAUUUCCAAGAAUAUUUGGGCAUUCUUAACUGAAAGGACAUAUUUUUAUUAAACAACAAUGGGACAUUGGUAGAUUACAGAUGUAGAGUAUCGAGUGGGAACAGUCUGCACUGCCCUAAGUGCAGGCUCUCCCAGCAAAUGAAGGGAGGAUUAGUGCCUUGCUCAGAGUGGUAUUGCAAAAUAAAAUAAAAUAACCCAUGAAAAGUGAUCAGCACAGUGCUCUGCACAAGGUAAUCACUCAACACAUGUUAACCUUGGAUGUACCUAAAACUCAGGCCAGGGGCCCUAGGCAAUCCAGGAGGGUUGUGUGGUAUGUGCUGGAGCCAGGACUCUGGGGCUCCAUGGCCACUGCUUUCACAAUAUGCCUCUCUGCUCCUCUUCUUGGGAUUCUGCGAACAUGAGGGCCUCCUAGCCUGUUCGCAGGAGCUGACUGCAUACAGCACAGGUUUUUUAUAGCAUGCUCCCCUCAGCCAGCAAGGUGGCUGGUACCCAUCUGAGGGACACCUCCCUCCAGUGACUCAGUGAUGCCAUUCUCAGGGGGCUGGGGGGUGUUGAUAAAGAGAUCACUGACCAGAGAACUGCUCUACAAUUCUACAGCGUGUUGGUCCUCCAAAGCCCCAGCCCCAAAGUCACCCUGCAACCAGGAAAAAAAUAAAGUAUUCUGUAAACUGCUUUUAAACACACCAAUUAUUGGGCCAGCCAAUAUUAUGCAACAGAACCCUGUAACAGCUCACAGAGCAACCACUUGAUAACACUGCUUAUUCAGGUUUUAACUAUUGAGUUUUUAUUCUUGCUGCUAACUGAUGGGAUUCCUUAGCUCCUAUCCAUGACUGCAGAUGGCUGCAGUGGCCUACCACCACAGUGUUUGUGGUCUAAGAUUACUCAGAGACCUUGAGGAGCAACAUGAUCUAGCACCCUGGCUUUCUUAUUUUCCUAAACAACAAAAUAACCUUAAGGAGUAGAAGGCAGGGAGGUCCCUCAAAUGUCUGUAUUUAAUCUACACUUGGAUCUGGGAAUACCAGGAAUAAAAUGCUGAUAAGAUAAUGUUGUAGCUCUAUCUGCAGAUGGGUCAGCCUUUGAAGUGGCUGACUGGCAUUGUGCUGUACUGUCUAAUUAAUAGAGGAUUUUCCUAUGCAUUAUCUCAUAUGAUUCACCAAGCCCCUGUAGAGUCAGUAGGACAUUUUAUAGUUAAGGAGAUUGAACCUCUGAGAGGUUGUAACUUGUGCAAGUUAAUAGAGCUCAACAGAUGUACUGACUAUUGAUCCUUUCGAACCAGAUCCUGUCCCAGUGUCCUGCCAGCUCCACCCCACAGAGCCGCCCCAUGCCCCACAAGUCUGUGCAGAGUGUAGCAAAUGUAACUAACCCUGGGUCCAAGGAGCCCCCAGGAGCGAUGC